AGCACUGGAUCAGAAGAGAUUUCAUGGACUUUGUAGUCUAGUUCCUUCCUGCAGGAGUUAAAACAGCUCACCAUUUGAGAAGCUGGUGGAAGCUCCCUGGGUUCCAAUCCCUGCCCCACCUCUGCCCAAGGCCAAGCAGAUAUGGGAAGCUGGAUGAGUCUCUGCGAGGAACAUACUCAAGAAAGGGAAAAUGAAACUGCAAAAAUAAGAAAAGGACCCACAGAGCAGAGUAGAGGAUGAAGUGAGAGGGCAAUGCCUGAGAAAAGACACCCAGACUAACAGAAGUUUGAAAUGGGAAGCUUUGUAUACAGGAAAAUUUGGACAUGGAUAUGGUGAUGAUUCUGCCAGAGGUACACCUCACUUCA